AGAGUCCUACGCUGAAGGCCUGGCCAGCCACGGCGGCCGCGAGUCAUGCGUGCGCACCCGCGAGGGAGCUGGCGAAGCGUUCACAGGAGUACGUGCGGGCCGGGAUUGAGCCGCGUAACGGAGCCUCGUGGCGAGAGCC
rfam:Burkholderia phymatum STM815 plasmid pBPHY02, complete sequence.